rnacentral:rRNA from 1 species
UACGAAGGGGGCUAGCGUUGUUCGGAGUUACUGGGCGUAAAGGGCGCGUAGGCGGCGCACCAAGUCAGGCGUGAAAGCCCUGGGCUCAACCCGGGAAUUGCGCUUGAGACUGGUAUGCUUGAGUACGGGAGAGGAUAGUGGAAUUCCCAGUGUAGAGGUGAAAUUCGUAGAUAUUGGGAAGAACACCGGUGGCGAAGGCGGCUAUCUGGACCGUAACUGACGCUGAGGCGCGAAAGCGUGGGGAGCAAACAGG